AUUGAACGCUGGCGGCAUGCUUUACACAUGCAAGUCGAACGGUAACAGGGUGCUUGCACCGCUGACGAGUGGCGAACGGGUGAGUAAUGCGUCGGAACGUGCCGAGUAGUGGGGGAUAACGCAGCGAAAGUUGUGCUAAUACCGCAUACGUACUGAGGUAGAAAGUGGGGGACCUUCGGGCCUCACGCUAUUCGAGCGGCCGACGUCUGAUUAGCUAGUAGGUGAGGUAAAGGCUCACCUAGGCGACGAUCAGUAGCGGGUCUGAGAGGAUGAUCCGCCACACUGGGACGGAGACACGGCCCAGACUCCUACGGGAGGCAGCAGUGGGGAAUUUUGGACAAUGGGCGAAAGCCUGAUCCAGCCAUGCCGCGUGUCUGAAGAAGGCCUUCGGGUUGUAAAGGACUUUUGUCAGGGAGGAAAUCCCCAGCGCUAAUACCGCUGGGGGAUGACAGUACCUGAAGAAUAAGCACCGGCUAACUACGUGCCAGCCGCCGCUGUAAGAC
rnacentral:rRNA from 1 species